GCUGCAUCCAAGGCACCAGAAGGGGAAUCGGUCGCUGGACUGCAAGGAGAAGCGGCCGGGCGAGACACGAUUGGGCGCCUUCAGAGUAGGUAGGAAGGAGCGGGCGAGAUCAUUGUCAAAGAAACCGAGGAGGAGGGGAGGGCUGCGGCGGUGGUGGAUGCAGAAGCGACGGGAGAAGCCUGGGUCGGAGGCGAGGUUGCGCCAGCGCUUGCAGACGACGGAGGCGCGGGGGAGGGAGCACGGCUGCGGGGGGAGGCGUAGGAGGAUCUCGCAGAGGAGGUCGUCGUCAUCCAGCGG
rnacentral:rRNA from 1 species